rnacentral:rRNA from 1 species
GAUCAUGGCUCAGGAUGAACGCUGGCGGCGUGCCUAAUACAUGCAAGUCGAGCGAGAAUCAGUGAAGCAGCGAUUCGUCAAGGCGGAUCUGAGGAAAGCGGCGGACGGGUGAGUAACGCGUAGGCAACCUGCCCUUAGCAGAGGGAUAGCCAUUGGAAACGAUGAAUUAAAACCUCAUAAUGCUGUUUUAACACAUGUUUUGACAGCCAAAGAUUUAUCGGCUAAGGAUGGGCCUGCGUCUGAUUAACUAGUUGGUGAGGUAACGGCCCACCAAGGUGACGAUCAGUAGCCGACCUGAGAGGGUGAUCGGCCACAUUGGAACUGAGACACGGUCCAAACUUCUACGGAAGGCAGCAGUAAGGAAUCUUGCACAAGUGGGGGAAACCCUGAAUGCAGCAACGCCGCGUGAACGAUGAAGGCCUUAGGGUUGUAAAGUUCUGAUCUGUGGGAAGAAGAAGUGACGGUACCACAGGAGAAAGCCCCGGCUAAAUACGUGCCAGCCGCCGC